AACGAACGCUGGCGGCAGGCCUAACACAUGCAAGUCGAACGGGAAGUUACCUUCGGGUAAUGGAUAGUGGCGCACGGGUGAGUAACGCGUGGGAAUUUACCUUUUAGUCUGGGAUAACAGUUGGAAACGACUGCUAAUACCGGAUACGCCCUUUGGGGGAAAGAUUUAUUGCUAAAAGAUAAGCCCGCGUCCAAUUAGGUAGUUGGUAGGGUAAUGGCCUACCAAGCCGACGAUUGGUAGCUGGUCUGAGAGGAUGACCAGUCACACUGGGACUGAGACACGGCCCAGACUCCUACGGGAGGCAGCAGUGGGGAAUAUUGGACAAUGGAGGCAACUCUGAUCCAGCCAUGCCGCGUGAGUGAAUGAAGGCCUUAGGGUUGUAAAGCUCUUUCAGAUGUGACGAUGAUGACGGUAGCAUCAGAAG
rnacentral:rRNA from 1 species